rnacentral:sRNA from 1 species
ACAACAAUGACGACUUGGCAUUGCUGUGAAUUGAAUGCAGAGCUGUGUCCAUGCUAGGCUGGCAAGUGCUUUACAGUUUUCUGAAUUCCUCACUGUAUUUGCAUCUCUCAUCCAUGGCUUCUCAUCGACUCCUGUCCUUCAUUCCUCUGCAGUACUGUUUUCUUUUCAACUAAGCACUCGAGAUUUGGUUAGCUUUUCGUCUACUCCAACACUAACAGUUUUGGAAAUGGUAGGUACAGCCGAUCAUUGUGGUGGGCAUGAAACUUAGAAAUCAUUAGACAUUACCACUCUCAUCACAUUUCCUUUCUCUAAACAUUCCUAAGAUGGUUUUUACUGUAUCCAAAAGGAACCGACACAUGUAUAGUGUUUGAAUCACUCCUUACACUUUAUGGUGGACAACAGAGUAGGCCUUUCAUUACAAUUCUGGGUGGCUGUUUUGGCAAAAUACUAAUAACCUUCGGAUUUAGCAAUUAUUUAUUAUAAAGAGGCAAUUAUGUGUAGACAUAGGCUUUUUAAUAAAAAAGUAAUUUAAAAAGUAAUCUAUCAUAAAAAUGCCUUGAAGAAUGUACAAUAUUAGUAAAAUAUAUAGAAGAUGACAUUUGUGUAAUAUAUUAGGAAAAUCCAUUGAAUGGAAAAUGAAUUAGAAAGUUCUUUGUUUUAUUUUACCAAAAUACAUUACAGGAUAUUUGUAUACUGUGAACCCUGAACUUGUGCUGUUUACUGGAAAAACCUGUUUUAGUUGUGGUGAGGCUCAGCCCCCAGCACACACCUUUAAGCCCUUUGGCUGGAAUUCAGACACACUCUUAGUACACACCUU